CUCCGAGUCGUGCGCCCGUGCCGCGCAGGCGCAAACAGAGGUUGCAGCAGCUAUCGCCAUGCCAUGCUAUCGCUCUUCGGGCGUUCGUCGAACUCGCCUCGGUGGCUGUUGACAUCGUGGUCAGUGUAGUGUUCUGUGAUGCAUCAGGGCCUCAUCAGCUCAUCGACGACUAAAUCGCCCACUUCAAGGUUCCAGUUGCACCAAGCAGGUGCACUCACCCUCAGGUUGCAAGCCGCUCUCUUCAAGUCGCAUGGGGUGCUUUAUGAGGUCCCAGCUGCACCAAACAGGUGCACGCACCAUUACAGAUUGCAAGCCGUUCUCUUUAAGCCACAUGGAAUGUUCCAUGAGGUGAGCGUGCAUUUGUAGUGGUCCUUGGGACAUGUGCUGUAGGCUUAUGUAUUACUGGCUUUGUCUUUGUGGUAUACGCCAGGCUGUAUUAAAUAUAUUGCAGGUCCCAGCAACAAAAAUUGCAAGCCGCUCUCUUCAAGCCGCGUGGAGUGCUCUCUGAGUUCCCAUCUACACCAAGCGGGUUGACCCACCGUCAGACCGCAAGCCGC